GCCCUGGUGCCCCAGCGCUUACCACCACUGAGUUUUCUGUAUGUGGACAAGGGCAGCAUGCUGCCUUUUCAUCACCUCUUGAGAAGUAUGCAAUAUACAGUAUGGUAUAUUUCUAAAGCUUGUGUCAAAUGGGAAAGAAACGAGAUGAUUUUUCAUAAAGCCAAGAGCAGAAACUGCCAAGGGCUCAAGGGCCAUUUUCCUCCAAUUUUUCAAAAACAGAAAUGACCAAACAUGAUUUCUUUAAAGAGCUCUUUUAGUUCUAAAAGGGGAGGGAAGGUCAGUCUUUAAAAGGCUGCAAGCUUCCUGGGGCAUAACUGGCCAUCUCUAAAACAAAAAUGGAAUAAGGCUUGGUUGUUUUUGGUCAUCCUGCCAUAAACUCACAUUAAUUAUUAGUCUCAAAUUGGAAGGUUUUCUUAGGAAUCGAUUAUUCCCAAUUGUGGGGUAGGCAGUAAGGAGGUACUUUAAAAAUAGGUGAAGAACUUUACUACACAGCCCUAAGACUAUAGUAUUGGAAGAGAAUGUGUAGCUGAAAACCCAGCGAGGAUCGCUGUUUAAGUCGGCUCCGACAGGAAGGCACGUAAGAGGAAAAGCUCUAUUGUGAAAUUCCUCCUCCUGCACAGCGAACGUGUAAGAGUACUCGUAGACUGGCCAUCAGGGAUUUGUUAAAACGCGUGUCUACUACCGGAGAACCUCAUUCACACAACAUUCUCCCGAGUCCGCGACGGCCUGGAAGGAGGGAGAGGCUGCCAGGCGGAAGUUUUCCAUUCCUGCCUCCUCCUCACGGGCGUCUGGCAGUUUCCGGCCUGGGCGGAGGCGCCGCUGCAGCGGAUAGACGACGAGGCGGCUCCCUGGGUGAAGCGGGCGAACGGGAAUGGCUGUGCCGGGCGGGAGCUCGGCCUUGACCGUAACGGUCACAUACGGUAAUGAAAAGCAUAGCCUUCAGGUUGCUUCUCAAGAAGAAAAUAGUCAACCAACAGUGCGUGAUAUGGCUGUCUUGAUUGAACAAGUAACUGGAGUUCCAGUUUCUUUUCAAAAGCUGAUAUAUAAGGGAAAAUCCUUGAAAGAAAUGGAUCAGCCAUUGUCCACAUUUGGAGUGAAAAACGGUUGUAAAGUCAUGCUGAUUGGGAAAAGGAAAAGUCCAGAUGAAGAGGCUGAACUGAAGAAAUUAAAAGAUUUGGAGACAUCAGUGGAGCAAGUUGCCAAGAAAAUAGAGGAAAUUAAUAAAGAGCUUGGUGGUAUUCAGAAGGAUUUUCUGGCAAAGAAUCUUCAAACUGAAGCACUCUGCCAGUUGGACAAGCGGAUAAAGGGAACAGCUGAACAAUUUAUGAAAAUUCUGGAACAAAUAGAUGCCAUUAUUUUUCUGAUGCAAAUCCUUCGACUGAGGUAUAUUGCCAAGUUCACAAAACCUUGAAUAGUUGGACAACGUAUUCCUGGAGAGGAGACGUAAGCUGACUUAAGGAAAAAAGGAAAGAUGAACUUAAGGGUCAGGGACUUUGACUUAUCAUUUGUUGCUGAGAAUUCUCUGAAGACAGGUAAGAUGAAAACGACUGAGCUUUCUUGCAUGAUAUUGAUAAACUGCAUCUCCACUCUAUAAAAGUAACAGGAUAGAACAACUUUAUAUAUCUUCAGCUUAACAGAUUGACUCCACAUUUAUUCCACGCAGAGGAUUAAAGUCCAGCAAAGGCAAUGUUGGCUUUAGAGAUUCAUGUGGUCAUUUCAUUGUCAGUGAGAACACAGUGGAAGACAGUGCUUCCAAAAUACAUGAACUUCAUUGCAGUAAGGGGUGUUUGUAUACCUUCAGAACUGAUUCCUCAUAAUGUACACCCAGAGCAAGUUGGUACAUCAGUAUUGCCUUAUCAGUAUUGAUCUUCAGGCCAAAAUUAUUGGAAGUGGAGGAGAACAGAUCUCCAGGAGAAUGGUUGCACUAAGAGUGCAGUAAUUGCUCUUAUAAAAGCCCACACAGUGCAAAAUGAGAUUUCAGUUAUGGGAUGCAGAUGCUGCAGGACUGAACAGUCUUCCGUCAAUGUGAUAUUGAAGGUCAACAUUGGCAUUUUCUUUCGUGCCGAACUACUGCCACAAUUGGUGGGAAGAGUAGGACCUUUGUGGCACUGUGUGGAUAGCUGGUUCCAGGGGCUGGACUCUAAUUGGGUGCAGCUGGGAUGGGGAUAUUUGUAAUGGUUUACAAAUACGGAUAACCCCAUCUCCAAUCAAAAGUUCUAGUCAAAUCUAUGAAUGUUGUGAAGAGGUUGACAUGCUGCUCUUGACACUUAUUUGUAGCUGUCAGCUGGCAAAUAUGUCAACAGAAGUCACAGUGAGUUUUUUAUGUGAUGGCUUUCUCCAAAUGUCCUAUGAGAAGAUUCAGAAGAAUUCUUGCCAGAAUUUUCUGAGCAGGAUUUAGAUGCCUUGCUGGCUGUCACAGAGUUGACUAUUGCCUUUACUUUUAUAAAGCUUGAGAAUAAUUGAAUUUUUGUGGUCCUGAAGGGUUUUGUCAGUUGCUGGAGGAGUUUAUUGCCUUGUUUCUAAAGACCUCAACUGGAAUUGCAUCUGCCUGUAGGGUUUUUCCGUAGAGCUGGUUAAUGGCCUCUUGUGGUUCUUCCAGAGAAAAGGGGAGGUCCAUGGAACUGUUAAUUGGCAUUUGUGGCAGCUUGCUUCUCUACAAAAUCUAGUGAUUUCUCCAUAAUGAGUAUCGAGCUGUCAGAGCUGAGGAAGGGUGACAUUUCCACAGGUUAAGGGCCAGAGAUGGUUUUGAUUGCUUCAAACAAUUUC